ACGAAUCUAAUAACCAUGGACUUCCCAUUAAAAAAACACCGUCUUGAUGCCAGUAAAAAUACUUAGUCCUCAGUAAAAGACAUCAGGACUUUUUAUCUUCCCACUAUGGUAGUAAAUGUGACCUUAUUUUUAGAUAAACUAUUCCGUUUCAUUUCAAAGGCAUGUCAUUUUCUUUAGAUACAACGGUAUCAUCAACACCACUGACAACGAGAAGAAACACAACAACAGGGAUUCUUCAUCUUGGUGUUUGGAAUGCUUUUAGACAGCAGGGUUCUGGAGUCACUACUAGGAAAAACAGUUGCUACAGAAACUGUACAGCACACACUUUUAUGAUGUUAAGCUUCUAAGCAUUGCCAAAUAUGUUUACAUUGACUCUCUGUAAUCUAUUUUAACCGAUGUCUUGUCCGAUCAUCCACACCUGGACUGAAUGUCUUUCAAAGGAUACGGCGGAGGAAUGUGUACAAUGUGUCUGAAGCCAGCAAUACAGCAGUUACAGACGGCUCCUACGACUCCUUUUCACUUACAAACACUUAAAAGACACGCCAAAGACAGUAGUUUUAGGGGAGGGUACUUUUUCUUUCUUUGUUAGUUAGUUUAAUUGCAUCCUGUUUUUCUGCUAUGAUAAAUUCCAAACGUUUCUAAACAAUAAUGACAAAUAUAGUGACCAAUAAAAAAAAUGCUUCAUAUUGUAUUUAAGUAAAAAAGUAAUUUUAUACUAAUAAACACAAAUUCAAGUGUUUCUUUUUGUCUCAAU